UUUAUCUAUACUUGUUUUAAGGGGGUUGGGGGGAGUACUACCAAUUCCUGUUUCUCAUUAACCCUUUGGUUGUUUCAUGAAAUUGUCAUACAACUGCUUCCGCCCUGUUUGGCAGACGCCUAAAAAACAGUUUUUCUUAUUUUAGCUAACAGUGUUAAAUGCAUUGUUACUGUUAACCAAAAUGAGUCCAUACAAAAUCACUGUUAGCUAAAAUGAGAUGAACUCAUUCUUAGGUGUCUACAGAACAUAGCAUUUUUUUUUUUUUGAAAGAGAAUUUGCUUAGAUGGAAGUUUUGUUUUGUUCUUGUAGCAUUAAUGGAUAAUCAGAUAGAUGUUGUCUAUACUCACACCCACUGAUUUUUUGCUGUGGGGUUCUACAGAAAGCCCUUUGUUCAUAUACUUUCGUAUUAAAUUGUAGUUGAGUGGCUAGAUUACUGUUUGAACGGCUUGUGGUGAAGAUUGGCUAGUUGAGUAAUCUCUAGAGUACACCCAAAUCAUGCUCAGCUAGAGUUGGUGCUCUUCUUUUUUUUCCUGAAGUUUUGGAUUCUUAUGUUCUAGAGUUUUGUCAAAAGACGCUAGAGAUCUCUCUGAGUAUUUCAAUUUAGUUGUCUGACCUUAGAUUGAAAACCAUUCAUUUCUGAACAUUUACUGAAGCUGGAGCCUGGUUCAAAAUAUCAGCUGGCUUAGACUGUUAUUUAGAAGAUUUUUUUGCUUGUUUUCUUCAGCUGUAGGAAAGUAGGUGUGACAUGUAGGUUCGAUUUAUUUAUUUUAGUUAUCUUUUGUUUUCCUUCUUUCUAUCAUUCUGGAUCCCUUCUAAAGGGGACUCGUGCGAAGAGAAUUGAGAAUCGUCUUUGCGGCAGCCCGUGGGAGAGUUGAAUACAUCUUGUCAGAUUCAGACCAUAAAAUAGGUGGGCCAUGCCAUGCGUGUGCCGUGACUGACGGCGGUGGUCAUACCAGUAUGAUAACUUGGACAAUUAAAUAAAUUGACCAACGGUUCAUAUUCAGCGUUCUUGUGUCUGUGUCUCUGACCAAUCCACUGAGCAGACUGGCCUGAUGGUUGGCCCUUGGCAUGUUCACUCUUGGGCCUGCUUGAUGAAUUCCCCAGAUGUUGUACAUGUUUAUGGCUUUGUAUGGCAAAUGAUCCUCUACUUUCAUGAACUCUCACAAAAAUCAAUUAGAAUGGUCCUUAGUAUUGUUUACAAUGGUGAUUUUAGGUAUUGACUUGGGGAAUCGGGAUCUGUAAGUAUACCACAAAUAUACUAUGCUACGAAGGAAGAAACUCCCCAUGGAAGGUUGAAUCUGUGUUCUGAGGAGUUGAGUUUGGUUUUGCUUACCACAAAUACACUAUGCUACCAAGGAAGAAACUCCUCAUGGUAGAUUGAAACUGUGUUCUGAAGAUCUAUGCUUGGUUUUGCUUAAAGAGUUGGGACAGUACUGAGAGUAACCACCAUCUUGGAUUGUCACCACCCAUUCUUAGGUCCUCUUUGGGUGCCUCAUAGAAAUGAGUUGAACUCAUUUUGGUUAUUCUUUAAUUAUGUGUUAAAGAUCAUGAUCCUUGGUUAUGAGGAUUAUUUUUAAUCCUUGCCAAAAAUAGAUAUUAUCUCCCAUACAUAAUCAUGAUUUAACUAAAAUUAGAGGUAUGGCAUGCGGGACACACGUGGAGAGAGGAAAGAGAAAGGGAAAAGAAAUUUGCUUAAAAGAGUUGGGACAGUACUGAGAGUAACUGCCAUCUUGGAUUGUCGCCACCCCCCAUCCCUAGGGCCUGUUUGGGUGCCUCAUAGAAAUAAGUUGAACUCAUUUUGGUUAUUCGUAAUUAUGUGUUAGAGAUCAUGAUCCUUGGUUAUGAAGAUGAUUUUUAAUCCUUGCCAAAAAUCGAUAUUAUCUCCCAUGCAUAAUUAUGAUUUAACUAAAAUUAGAGAUAUGGCAUGCGGGACGCACUUGGAGAGAGGAAAGAGAAAGGGAAAAGAAAUUUGCCUAAAGAUCUGGGACAGUACUGAGAGUAACCGCCAUCUUGGAUUGUCGCCACACCCCAUCCUUAGGGCCUGUUUGGGUGCCUCAUAGAAAUGAGUUGAACUCAUUUUGGUUAUUCGUAAUUGUGUGUUAAAGAUCAUGAUCCUUGGUUAUGAAGAUGAUUUUAAUCCUUGCCAAAAAUAGAUAUUAUCUCCCAUACAUAAUUAUGAUUUAACUAAAAUUAGAGGUAUGGCAUGUGGGACGCACGUGGAGCGAGGCGAGAGAAAGAGAAAGGGGAAAGAAA